ACAGAAAGACAGGAAGAACGAAAGAAAGAAAGAAAGAAAGAAAAGAUCGACAGACAUCUCAGGAUCGACAGGCCGGAUCGAUUUGUCGAUUUGGAUGCCCUCGCGGGGGGUUCAUCUCCUCCCCUCCCCUUCCCUUCCCUUCUUUUUUCCCUCCCUCCUUCCGCAUGGAUGCCGCAACGGAAGGGAGGGAGGGAGGGUCUGUAUGACAUGACAUGACAAGUAGAGUGAAU
rnacentral:ribozyme from 1 species